rnacentral:rRNA from 1 species
GACGAACGCUGGCGGCGUGCUUAACACAUGCAAGUCGAACGGAAAGGCCCUGCUUUUGUGGGGUGCUCGAGUGGCGAACGGGUGAGUAACACGUGAGUAACCUGCCCUUGACUUUGGGAUAACUUCAGGAAACUGGGGCUAAUACCGGAUAGGAGCUCCUGCUGCAUGGUGGGGGUUGGAAAGUUUCGGCGGUUGGGGAUGGACGCGCGGCUUAUCAGCUUGUUGGUGGGGUAGUGGCUUACCAAGGCUUUGACGGGUAGCCGGCCUGAGGGGGUGACCGGCCACAUUGGGACUGAGAUACCGCCCAGACUCCUACGGGAGGCAGCAGUGGGGAAUAUUGCACAAUGGGCGGAAGCCUGAUGCAGCAACGCCGCGUGCGGGAUGACGGCCUUCGGGUUGUAAACCGCUUUCGCCUGUGACGAAGCGUGAGUGACGGUAAUGGGUAAAGAAGCACCGGCUAACUACGUU